GCAGUGUGUAAGACGCUCACGGGCGCGCGGACUAUCGGGCGGCUAGGCUCUCUGAGGAGGCUGCCACAGUGAAGCAACCGUGACAAGUGGUGCCCGACCAGGGACCUGAACGAGGAAGGUCUGCCAGAGCAGAGAAAGUGAAACUGAUCAGACGAACUACGAACCCCUGGACGGGAGAGUCUGCCGGCGGAGAAUAUAAGCAGAACGACACUGGCAACUGCUAGAGGAAAAGAGGCAAGUUUAUCCAAAAGUGUUAUGGAAAUCCCCAGAAGAAGGACAAUGGAAAGGUCCGGUGGAUUUGCUGACGUGGGGACGAGGGUAUGCUUGUGUUUUUACAGGAGAUGGACAAACCGUGUGGGUGCCCUCCAGGUGUGUGUGACCAUGGAACGGGAGACCGGAGGGAUCCAUGGUAUUCAACCGUGGGCCUGUUACCUCCAGUACGAGCCAUGAGCCAGCGGAAUCUGAAUGCAAAGACAGAACAAGGGCCGACCGGAGUCACAAUGACAUCCAACCCCAUAACAUGGGGACAGAUCAAGAAAACGACACAAGAAGCUGAGAAACUACUGGAGCGCCAGGGUCAGGCAAAAACCCCUGACUCCAUGUUCUUGGCCAUGCUAGCUGUAGUGUCCUGUGCGUCUAUAGGAUCGGGUGAACCACCAACCGGCAAUU
rnacentral:lncRNA from 1 species